GAUGAACGCUGGCGGCGUGCCUAAUACAUGCAAGUCGAGCGAACGGACGAGAAGCUUGCUUCUCUGAUGUUAGCGGCGGACGGGUGAGUAACACGUGGAUAACCUACCUAUAAGACUGUGAUAACUUCGGGAAACCGUAGCUAAUACCUGCUAAUAUUUUGAACCGCAUGGUUCAAAAGUGAAAGACGGUCUUGCUGUCACUUAUUGAUGGAUCCGCGCUGCAUUAGCUAGUUGGUAAGGUAACGGCUUACCAAGGCAACGACGAAUAGCCGACCUGAGAGGACGAUCGGCCACACUGGAACUGAGACACGGUCCAGACUCCUACGGGAGGCAGCAGUAGGGAAUCUUCCGCAAUGGGCGAAAGCCUGACGGAGCAACGCCGCGUGAGUGAUGAAGGUCUUCGGAUCGUAAAACUCUGUUAUUAGGGAAGAACAUAUGUGUAAGUAACUGGGCAGAGCUUGACGGUACCGAAUCAGAAAGCCACGGCUAACUACGUG
rnacentral:rRNA from 1 species